ACGGGGAUAGCUCAGUUGGGAGAGCGUCAGACUAAAGAUUUGAAGGUCGCGGGUUCUAUCCACGUUCACUGCA
rfam:Capsicum annuum cultivar Zunla-1 chromosome 10, whole genome shotgun sequence